rnacentral:rRNA from 1 species
GGUCAAGCGAAUAAGCGCACACGGUGGAUGCCUAGGCGGUCAGAGGCGAUGAAGGACGUGGUAGCCUGCGAAAAGUGUCGGGGAGCUGGCAACAAGCUUUGAUCCGGCAAUAUCCGAAUGGGGAAACCCACUGCUUCGGCAGUAUCCUGCAGUGAAUUCAUAGCUGCUGGAAGCGAACCCGGUGAACUGAAAUAUCUAAGUAACCGGAGGAAAAGAAAUCAACCGAGAUUCCCUAAGUAGUGACGAGCGAACGGGGAACAGCCCUUAAGCUGGAAUGGCUUUAGAAAAACAAUCUGGAAAGAUUGGCCAUAGAAGGUGAUAGCCCUGUAUUUAAAAGGGCCACUCCAGUGAAGACGAGUAGGGCGGGGCACGUGAAACCCUGUCUGAAUAUGGGGGGACCAUCCUCCAAGGCUAAAUACUCCUGACCGACCGAUAGUGAACCAGUACCGUGAGGGAAAGGCGAAAAGAACCCCGGAGAGGGGAGUGAAAUAGAUCCUGAAACCGUGUGCGUACAAGCAGUAGGAGCUCGCAAGAGUGACUGCGUACCUUUUGUAUAAUGGGUCAGCGACUUACUGUUCGUGGCAAGCUUAACCGUAUAGGGGAGGCGAAGGGAAACCGAGUCUGAUAAGGGCGCAUAGUCGCGGGCAGUAGACCCGAAACCGGGUGAUCUAGUCAUGGCCAGGGUGAAGGUGCCGUAACAGGUACUGGAGGCCCGAACCCACGUCUGUUGCAAAAGACGGGGAUGAGCUGUGAUUAGGAGUGAAAAGCUAAUCGAACCCGGAGAUAGCUGGUUCUCCUCGAAAGCUAUUUAGGUAGCGCCUCGGACGAAUACUACUGGGGGUAGAGCACUGUUAUGGCUAGGGGGUCAUCGCGACUUACCAAACCAUUGCAAACUCCGAAUACCAGUACGUACUAUCCGGGAGACACACGGCGGGUGCUAACGUCCGUCGUGAAAAGGGAAACAACCCAGACCCACAGCUAAGGUCCCAAAUUCACUGCUAAGUGGAAAACGAUGUGGAAAGGCACAGACAGCCAGGAGGUUGGCUUAGAAGCAGCCACCCUUUAAAGAAAGCGUAAUAGCUCACUGGUCGAGUCGGUCUGCGCGGAAGAUUUAACGGGGCUAAGCAGUGAACCGAAGCUUGGGGUGCAUAAAACUUGUUUUAUGCGCGGUAGAGGAGCGUUCCGUAAGCCUGCGAAGGUGGAUUGAGAAGUCUGCUGGAGGUAUCGGAAGUGCGAAUGCUGACAUGAGUAACGAUAAUGCGGGUGAAAAGCCCGCACGCCGAAAGCCCAAGGUUUCCUUGCGCAACGUUAAUCGACGCAGGGUUAGUCGGUCCCUAAGGCGAGGGCGAAAGCCGUAGUCGAUGGGAAGCAGGUUAAUAUUCCUGCACCUCGCGUGAGUGCGAUGGAGGGACGGAGAAGGUUAGGUGUACCGGGCGUUGGUUGUCCCGGGGAAAGGCGGUAGGUUUGAAUCUUUGGCAAAUCCGGGAUUCUUUAAGACCGAGCACCGAGACGAGCCUUUAUGGCGAAGUCACUGAUACCACGCUUCCAGGAAAAGCUCCUAAGCUUCAGCUCACGAAGACCGUACCGUAAACCGACACAGGUGGGUAGGAUGAGAAUUCUCAGGCGCUUGAGAGAACUCGGGUGAAGGAACUAGGCAACAUGGCACCGUAACUUCGGGAGAAGGUGCACCCUUUUUGGUGGCUCAUGCGAGCUAUAGCUGAAGAGGGUCGCAGAAACCAGGCCGCUGCGACUGUUUAUCAAAAACACAGCACUCUGCAAACACGAAAGUGGACGUAUAGGGUGUGACGCCUGCCCGGUGCUGGAAGGUUAAUUGAUGGGGUCAGCCGCAAGGCGAAGCUCUUGAUCGAAGCCCCAGUAAACGGCGGCCGUAACUAUAACGGUCCUAAGGUAGCGAAAUUCCUUGUCGGGUAAGUUCCGACCUGCACGAAUGGCGUAACGACAGCGGCGCUGUCUCCACCCGAGACUCAGUGAAAUUGAAAUCGCUGUGAAGAUGCAGCGUUCCCGUGGCAAGACGGAAAGACCCCGUGAACCUUUACUAUAGCUUUACACUGAACGUUGAGUUCGUCUGUGUAGGAUAGGUGGGAGGCUAUGAAACUGUGGCGCUAGCUGCAGUGGAGCCAUCCUUGAAAUACCACCCUGUCGUGCUUGACGUUCUAACCUAGAUCCGUUAUCCGGAUCAGGGACCGUGUAUGGUGGGUAGUUUGACUGGGGCGGUCUCCUCCUAAAGAGUAACGGAGGAGCACGAAGGUACGCUCAGCGCGGUCGGACAUCGCGCACUGUGUGCAAAGGCAUAAGCGUGCUUGACUGCAAGAUCGACGGAUCAAGCAGGUACGAAAGUAGGUCUUAGUGAUCCGGUGGUUCUGUAUGGAAGGGCCAUCGCUCAACGGAUAAAAGGUACUCCGGGGAUAACAGGCUGAUACCGCCCAAGAGUUCAUAUCGACGGCGGUGUUUGGCACCUCGAUGUCGGCUCAUCACAUCCUGGGGCUGUAGUCGGUCCCAAGGGUAUGGCUGUUCGCCAUUUAAAGUGGUACGCGAGCUGGGUUCAGAACGUCGUGAGACAGUUCGGUCCCUAUCUGCCAUGGGCGUUGGAAGUUUGAGAGGGGCUGCUCCUAGUACGAGAGGACCGGAGUGGACGAACCUCUGGUGUUCCGGUUGUCACGCCAGUGGCAUUGCCGGGUAGCUAUGUUCGGAAGCGAUAACCGCUGAAAGCAUCUAAGCGGGAAGCGCGCCUCAAGAUGAGACUUCCCGGGGCACAAGCCCCCUAAAGGAACCAUAUAGACUAUGUGGUUGAUAGGUCAGGUGUGUAAGUACAGCAAUGUAUUGAGCUAACUGAUACUAAUGAUCCGUGCGGCUUGACCAU